CCGACGGUGAGAGGCGAAAGCUGGGGGAGCAAACCGGAUUAGAUACCCGGGUAGUCCCAGCCGUAAACGAUGUGCGUUAGGUGUAUCGGUGACCACGAGUCACCGAGGUGCCGAAGAGAAAUCGUGAAACGUACCGCCUGGGAAGUACGGUCGCAAGGCUGAAACUUAAAGGAAUUGGCGGGGGAGCACCACAACAGGUGGAGCCUGCGGUUUAAUCGGACUCAACGCCGGGAAACUCACCAGAUAAGACAGCUGAAUGAUAGUCGGGCUGAAGACUCUACUUGACUAGCUGAGAGGAGGUGCAUGGCCGUCGUCAGUUCGUACUGUGAAGCAUCCUGUUAAGUC
rnacentral:rRNA from 1 species